UCUUGGAAAAAGGACUUUAAACAUUCUCCUGUUCUGUGGAAUAAGUAUACUUUUUUCUGGACAUACACGUUGUCAGUGAGUUCCAUGUGAUACUAGAGUUGCAUAGAUUUUUAACCUUUACGCCAAUGAAGAUCUGAGGCAAACAUUGCCCCUUUUUUAGAAGUUUGCAUUUGUCACUGAUAACUGUAAUAAUUGAUCUUGUUGAAAAGCCUGGGAAAUGAAGAUCUGAUACGUCACUUUUACCGGCUUCCUCAACUGAAAAAGAAUACAAUGAAACACGCUGAGAAUUUUUGUGCUUUCUCAGUCUUGCUGAUGAUCUUUCUAUGGGCCUGAAGCGUGGAGAGUGCCAGAGAGGCUGAUCCUCAGCAGUGUGGCAGAGGAAAGUUGGGUGCGACUAAGGGGUAUGCGGUGCCCAAAUGCCACUGGGUCCUCAGCAGUACCACCUGAUUGGAAGUGAUAUUGGUGGAAGACAACAUUUUGCCGCUUGGAAUUCUCACCUCCACACCAAAGAAGUACUGUUUUUGUCAUUUGCACCAGCUUCUUUCUCCAGGAAAGAUCAAAACGAUGCACUGCAAGGUGUGGUUGGUCCAGAUAGCUGCCUUAUCCAACUGCCUCCUUUGGACCACUUCAUCAUGGGACAGCUUGAUGCAAUCUACUUGACAAGACCCUGGAACCCCACACCCCUCAUGGAACCAGUGUCCACCUCCCAGUCACAGUGUGACCCCAGGGAACUCUUGCCUGCUUGCUUUAAACCCACCACUUAAAAGUCUCCACAGAAAACCUGUUUGAAUAGUACCUUUGACCCAAUAAGGGCAUUGGCCCAUGGGUGUCUCUCUCUCUCUCUCUCCCUCUCUCUCUCUCUCGCUCCCUGACCUCUGCGUGUGGACUCCAGGCAUGCCAUAUACCCCUCAGGACCUGUAAGUAAUAACUGUCUUUAUUUUUA
rnacentral:lncRNA from 1 species